UUGACCUCAAAUCGGGUGGGACUACCCGCUGAACUUAAGCAUAUCAAUAAGCGGAGGAAAAGAAACUAACAAGGAUUCCCCUAGUAACGGCGAGUGAGGAGGGAAAAGCUCAAAUUUUGAAUCUGGUGUCUUUGGCGCCCGAGUUGUAAUCUAGAGAAGUGUUUUCCGCGUUGGACCGUUCACAAGUUUUCUGGAAUGAGGCUUCAUAGAGGGUGAGAAUCCCGUAUCUGGAACGGACUACCAAUGCUCUGUGAUACACUCUCAACGAGUCGAGUUGUUUGGGAAUGCAGCUCAAAAUGGGUGGUAAAUUCCAUCUAAAGCUAAAUAUUGGCGAGAGACCGAUAGCGAACAAGUACCGUGAGGGAAAGAUGAAAAGCACUUUGGAAAGAGAGUGAAACAGUACGUGAAAUUGUUGAAAGGGAAGCGUUUGAAGUCAGUCAUAUCUGUCGGGAUUCAGCUUGGCUUUUGCCUUGUGUACUUUCCGUCCGAUGGGUCAGCAUCAAUUCAGACCGAGGGAAAAAGGCGUUUGGAAUGUGGCUGUCUUCGGGCAGUGUUAUAGCCUCGCGUUGUAUGUCUCGGUUGGGAUUGAGGAACGCAGCGCGCCACUUAAUUGGCCGGGGGUUAAGUCCUCUCAUAUCGCGCUUAGGAUGCUGG
rnacentral:rRNA from 1 species